rnacentral:rRNA from 1 species
UGGGGGAAUUUUUGGACAAUGGGGGAAACCCUGAUCCAGCCAUCCCGCGUGUGCGAUGAAGGCCUUCGGGUUGUAAAGCACUUUUGGCAGGAAAGAAACGUCGCGGGUUAAUACCCCGCGAAACUGACGGUACCUGCAGAAUAAGCACCGGCUAACUACGUGCCAGCAGCCGCGGUAAUACGUAGGGUGCAAGCGUUAAUCGGAAUUACUGGGCGUAAAGCGUGCGCAGGCGGUUCGGAAAGAAAGAUGUGAAAUCCCAGAGCUUAACUUUGGAACUGCAUUUUUAACUACCGGGCUAGAGUGUGUCAGAGGGAGGUGGAAUUCCGCGUGUAGCAGUGAAAUGCGUAGAUAUGCGGAGGAACACCGAUGGCGAAGGCAGCCUCCUGGGAUAACACUGACGCUCAUGCACGAAAGCGUGGGGAGCAAACAGGAUUAGAUACCCUGGUAGUCCACGCCCUAAACGAUGUCAACUAGCUGUUGGGGCCUUCGGGCCUUGGUAGCGCAGCUAACGCGUGAAGUUGACCGCCUGGGGAGUACGGUCGCAAGAUUAAAACUUAAAGGAAUUGACGGGGGU